UGGCGGACGGGUGAGUAACGCGUAAAGAACUUGCCCUUUAGACUGGGAUAACAGAGGGAAACUUCUGAUAAUACUGGAUAAGUUAGUAUAUCGCAUGAUAUGCAAAUGAAAGCUACGGCACUAAAGGAGAGCUUUGCGUCCUAUUAGCUAGUUGGUAAGGUAAGAGCUUACCAAGGCGAUGAUAGGUAGCCGGCCUGAGAGGGUGGACGGCCACAAGGGGACUGAGAUACGGCCCUUACUCCUACGGGAGCAGCAGCC
rnacentral:rRNA from 1 species